UCUCCGUUAGUGAACCAGCGGAGGGAUCAUUACAGGACUCGCAAGACUCCUUCACCCUGUGAACCUCACUACAAGCACGUUGCUUCGGCGGGUGUCCCGGCGGGGGUUUUCCCUCGCCGGGGCGCACAGCCCGCCGGCAGCCUACUAUACUCUGUCUCUUUGCGUUGGCAUCUCGAGAAAAAACAAACAAGUUAAAACUUUCAACAACGGAUCUCUUGGUUCUG
rnacentral:misc_RNA from 1 species